rnacentral:lncRNA from 1 species
CUUGUUUAUAAGUGUAUCGCCGAGAAAUGUAUAAAAUAAUCGAGACCGGCGGAGGCAGGUCAGAGCCGUCUGGAAUGCGCGCACCUUCAACGGCAUUUGGAGAUUAUUCGCACUGAAUUUUCUGCCCGCCAAGAACGAAUAGGAUUGCCAAGCCACACCACUUUUUGGAGCCCGCUUAUUCGCGCCUAUCCACCCUCUCCUGUGCCCCAGGUUCCCUGAGCACGGGAAUCCUUUCCGGGCAUGGGCAAAUUUGUUCGGUGGCUCAGAGCGGGAAGGGAAGUGCAGUUCGACACCUGUCCAGCUGCUCCGCUUGGAGAUCAAAGGCCGGCUAUGGGCUGAGCGACAGAUUUACGGGACGGUGGUACAGAUUAAGGCGGUACAGAUUAAGGAGAGAACCCUGCCGGUCCCGGACUCGAGUUCGCGCCCAAGGAAAGCGUACAGGUCCCUGGAAGCGGGUGGAUGUCGGAGAGGCCGAGGCAGCCUGCGCUGUGGCCAGGCAGGCUUGGUGGGUUUUAGUCUCAGUAUGUGUUCUUUAAAGUCUUGACAGGUUAUUAGCAAAGGAAGGGCACCCCAGAGUCAUGAAGAUGCUUCUCGCUCUGGCCCAAGCAUGUUGAGGUUGGCUCAUUCCUCGGCCAGGCCCAGUAAAACAGCCCAAGCACAGCCUGGAGUCUUCCCGCAUCUGCGCGGGAGUAGAGUCUGGCUUUGGGCCCCGCGUACCCCGCAGUCGUCGGGGACGGGUUCGAGGCCAGGGAGGCCACAGGAAGGGUUUCCGCGGCGGGCGCGGGGUAAAGGGGGGAAGAAGGAAUCCUCUCCGCGUGAUCGGCAGGGCGAUCUUGUGAUUCUCCCACACCCAGGUUCCAGCUCAGCCCCCAAACUGCUGCCCCAAGGAAACAAGUUGGGGAGUGUGGAUUUAGUAUAACAACGGGUGUGAGCUGAUGUCCUUACAACCAAAAAUAUUGAGACUAGAAAAUCAGCUCCGAAUCCACGACCCUCAAAUUGAUGCUUAAUCGCACCCUCGACUCCAGAAAAGCUGCCGGGGACAGACAUGGACAGGUUUUGCCAAGCGUUCAUUAAAAUAGUCUGCACUGGAAUAACCGGGGUGCAAGAGAUCACAUCUUCACUCAGGGCUUUGGGGAUCCCCUCGUCGCCCCAGGUCAGUGGGUGGGGAGGAGGGCAAACCUCUGUCUUUUGUUUGUGGGUGAGGGAUGCGAGUUGUGGCAGCAGCCGAGCAAAGGGGGAAAUUAAUUGCAGCCAAUUAAUAAUUAAUCCCCUUUAAACAGCUUUAUUAUCUCUUCCGAGCGACAGAGAUUUGUCUGAUAACCCCCUGAAGACCAAAUGUCAAGUUUAACCAAAUAGUUAUUGCUUUAUCAACCCGAGUCUGCAAAUAAAUUAAUCAAAAGCAAA